CAUACGACCGUACCGCAAACCGACACUGGUGCGCGAGAUGAGUAUUCUAAGGCGCUUGAGAGAACUCAGGAGAAGGAGCUCGGCAAAUUGACACCGUAACUUCGGAAGAAGGUGUGCCCUAUUAGUGUGUAGUGAACAACGAAGCAUGAAUGGGUUGCAAAAAAUCGGUGGCUGCGACUGUUUAUUAAAAACACAGCACUCUGCAAACACGAAAGUGGACGUAUAGGGUGUGACGCCUGCCCGGUGCUGGAAGAUUAAAUGAUGGGGUGCAAGCUCUUGAUUGAAGUCCCAGUAAACGGCGGCCGUAACGAUAACGGUCCUAAGGUAGCGAAAUUCCUUGUCGGGUAAGUUCCGACCUGCACGAAUGGCGUAACGAUGGCCACACUGUCUCCUCCUGAGACUCAGCGAAGUUGAAAUGUUUGUGAUGAUGCAAUCUCCCCGCGGAAAGACGGAAAGACCCCAUGAACCUUUACUGUAGCUUUGUAUUGGACUUUGAACAGAUCUGUGUAGGAUAGGUGGGAGGCUUUGAAGCAGGGUCGCUAGAUCUUGUGGAGCCAACGUUGAAAUACCACCCUGGUGUGUUUGAGGUUCUAACCUAGGUCCAUUAUCUGGAUCGGGGACAGUGCAUGGUAGGCAGUUUGACUGGGGCGGUCUCCUCCCAAAGCGUAACGGAGGAGUUCGAAGGUACGCUAGUUACGGUCGGACAUCGUGACGAUAGUGCAAUGGCAUAAGCGUGCUUAACUGCGAGACUGACAAGUCGAGCAGAUGCGAAAGCAGGACAUAGUGAUCCGGUGGUUCUGUAUGGAAGGGCCAUCGCUCAACGGAUAAAAGGUACUCUGGGGAUAACAGGCUGAUACCGCCCAAGAGUUCAUAUCGACGGCGGUGUUUGGCACCUCGAUGUCGGCUCAUCUCAUCCUGGGGCUGUAGCCGGUCCCAAGGGUAUGGCUGUUCACCAUUUAAAGAGGUACGUGAGCUGGGUUUAAAACGUCGUGAGACAGUUUGGUCCCUAUCUUCCGUGGGCGCUGCAGAUUUGAGGAAGCCUGCUCCUAGUACGAGAGGACCGGAGUGGACACACCUCUGGUGUAUCGGUUGUCACGCCAGUGGCAUUGCCGAGUAGCUAAGUGUGGAAGAGAUAACCGCUGAAAGCAUCUAAGCGGGAAACUCGUUUCAAGAUGAGAUCUGCCGGGGCCUUGAGCCCCCUAAAGAGUCGUUCAAGACCAGGACGUUGAUAGGUCAGGUGUGGAAGC
rnacentral:rRNA from 1 species